rnacentral:rRNA from 1 species
GAGUUUGAUCUUGGCUCAGAACGAACGCUGGCGGCGUGGAUAAGACAUGCAAGUCGAACGGGACAUUUUUUGUAGCAAUACAGAAGAUGUCCAGUGGCGUAAGGGUGCGUAACACGUGGGCAAUCUGCCGAGAAGUGGGGGAUAGCUCGCCGAAAGGCGAAUUAAUACCGCAUGUGGUUAGUGAAGACCUCUUCACGACACCAAAGCCGGGGACCAUAGCAAUAUGGCCUGGCGCUUCUUGAUGAGCCCGCGGCCUAUCAGCUUGUU